UACAGAGGUCUCAAGCGUUGUUCGGAAUCACUGGGCGUAAAGGGUGCGUAGGCCGCACGGUAAGUCAGAGGUGAAAUCCCGGAGCUCAACUUCGGAAUUGCCUCCGAUACUGCCGUGCUUGAGGACUGGAGAGGAGAUUGGAAUUCACAGUGGAGCAGUGAAAUGCGUAGAUAUUGUGAGGAACACUAGUGGCGAAGGCGAAUCUCUGGACAGUUCCAUGACGCUGAGGCACGAAGGCCAGGGGAGCAAACGGG
rnacentral:rRNA from 1 species